GACCUCAUGGUGCAAUGGUAGUGCAUCUGACUCCAGAUCAGAAGGUUGUGUUCAAAUCACGUUGGGUCA
rnacentral:tRNA from 1 species